rnacentral:rRNA from 1 species
GAUGAACGCUGGCGGCGUGCCUAACACAUGCAAGUCGAACGGAGAAUAUACGCUUCAGAAGCUUCGGCAGAUGAUUGUAUAUUCUUAGUGGCGGACGGGUGAGUAACGCGUGGGCAACCUGCCUCUGAGAGAGGGAUAGCUUCUGGAAACGGAUGGUAAUACCUCAUAAAGUAGUGAAACCGCAUGAUUUUGCUACCAAAGAUUUAUCACUCAGAGAUGGGCUCGCGUCUGAUUAGCUAGUUGGUGAGGUAACGGCUCACCAAGGCGACGAUCAGUAGCCGGACUGAGAGGUUGAACGGCCACAUUGGGACUGAGACACGGCCCAGACUCC